CCUACGGGUGGCAGCAGUGAGGAAUAUUGGUCAAUGGCCGUAAGGCUGAACCAGCCAAGUAGCGUGAGGGAAGAAUGCCCUAUGGGUUGUAAACCUCUUUUGUGAGGGGAUAAAGGUGUCCACGUGUGGAUGUUUGCAGGUACCGCAUGAAUAAGGACCGGCUAAUUCCGUGCCAGCAGUCGCGGUAAUACGGAAGGUCCGGGCGUUAUCCGGAUUUAUUGGGUUUAAAGGGAGCGUAGGCCGGUCUUUAAGCGUGCCGUGAAAUUUUGUGGCUCAACCAUGGGAGGGCGGCGGGAACUGGAGACCGUGAGUGGGCGGAAGGCAGGCGGAAUGCGUGGUGUAGCGGUGAAAUGCUUAGAUAUCACGAAGAACCCCGAUUGCGAAGGCAGCCUGCCGCAGCGUCACUGACGCUGAAGCUCGAAAGCGCGGGUAUCGAACAGGAUUAGAUACCCCGGUAGUC
rnacentral:rRNA from 1 species